CCCAGACUCCUACGGGAGGCAGCAGUGGGGAAUAUUGCACAAUGGGGGAAACCCUGAUGCAGCGACGCCGCGUGAGUGAAGAAGUAUUUCGGUAUGUAAAGCUCUAUCAGCAGGGAAGAAAAUGACGGUACCUGAUUAAGAAGCCCCGGCUAACUACGUGCCAGCAGCCGCGGUAAUACGUAGGGGGCAAGCGUUAUCCGGAUUUACUGGGUGUAAAGGGAGCGUAGACGGUGAUGCAAGUCAGAAGUGAAAGCCCGGGGCUCAACUCCGGGACUGCUUUUGAAACUGUGUGACUGGAGUGCAGGAGAGGUAAGCGGAAUUCCUGGUGUAGCGGUGAAAUGCGUAGAUAUCAGGAGGAACACCAGUGGCGAAGGCGGCUUACUGGACUGUAACUGACGUUGAGGCUCGAAAGCGUGGGGAGCAAACAGGAUUAGAUACCCCAGUAA
rnacentral:rRNA from 1 species